rnacentral:rRNA from 1 species
UUGCAUAAUGGUGAUAUUAAUAGUAUAACUAAAAUUAAUGUUCCCGAAAAUAUAAGAUCUAACUAGAACUAUAAUGUAUUAGAAUUAUCUACAUUUAAUGUUGCAUAAUUAUCAAUAGAAUAGAUAGUUAGUUGCGAAACGCAUACAUUUAUAUUGAUAUCUGGAUUUAAAGUAAAUAUAUUUAGUAUAGAAGACAGUUUUAGAUCGAUAAGGAUUUAAAACAUGUGAAUAAAUUAAAUUACACCCAAUUUGUAUUAGUUAGUAAUACUACUUAAUAAACCUAUCCUAUUUACAAUUAUAAAUUUAAGAAAACAUCACAUUUAUAAUACUUUAACUCAAUUAUUAAUUCGUUAAAAAUUUGUUGAUAAUGUAUCAAUUAGUAAUAAAGUAACAUAAAUAUAUGCAAGGAACUCGACAAAUUAUUUUAUACGACUGUUUAACAAAAACAUAACCUUAACGUUAUAUAUGUAAGGUGAAGUCCGCCCAGUGAUUUCUAAUUUUAACGGCCGCAGUACUUUGACUGUGCAAAGGUAGCAUAAUAAUUUGGCUUUUAAUUGGAGUCUGGAAUGAGAGAAAAUACGUAUAAAUAUUGUCUCGCUAUAUAGUUGUAUUAAAUUAUUUGAAGAAGUGAAAAUACUUCUAAAUGUAAAUAAAAGACGAGAAGACCCUUAGAAUUUUUAUUAAAGAUACUAUCAAUUAGUUUCACGUUUUAGUUGGGGCAACUCUAUUUCAAAACAACAAUAAAUAGUUAAUUUGAAAAUUUUGAACGAUUUUAUAAAAAAAGAUAAAUUACCUAAGGGAUAACAGCAUAAUUUUAUAAUUAAGAUUAUGACCUCGAUGUUGGAUUAGGUGUUGCAAAGUCUAAACGAUUUUGCAUAUAUUGUUCUGUUCGAACUUAAUUACCUACAUGAUCUGAGUUCAGACCGGCGUAAGCCAGGUCAGUUUCUAUCUUUUAAGGAGUAUAAAUUA